CCCCUAGAUGUUCUGGGCCGCACGCGCGCUACACUGAACAGUUCAACAAGUCUUAACCUUGGCCGAUAGGUCUGGGUAAUCUUUGAACGCUGUUCGUGAUUGGGAUAGACCUUUGCAAUUAUGGGUCUUCAACGAGGAAUUCCUAGUAAACGCAAGUCAUCAGCUUGCAUUGAUUACGUCCCUGCCCUUUGUACACACCGCCCGUCGCUCCUACCGAUUGAGCAAUCCGGUGAAUAUUUCGGACCGAGACCUGUCGGGGCAACUCGUUCAGGAUUUGGAAAGUCAAGUUAACCUUAUUGCUUAGAGGAAGGAGAAGUCGUAACA
rnacentral:rRNA from 1 species